GCGAGUGGCGAACGGGUGAGUAACACGUGGAUAACCUGCCUCAAGGCUGGGGAUAACAUUUGGAAACAGAUGCUAAUACCGAAUAAAACUUAGUAUCGCAUGAUAUAAAGUUAAAAGGCGCUACGGCGUCACCUAGAGAUGGAUCCGCGGUGCAUUAGUUAGUUGGUGGGGUAAAGGCUUACCAAGACAAUGAUGCAUAGCCGAGUUGAGAGACUGAUCGGCCACAUUGGGACUGAGACACGGCCCAAACUCCUACGGGAGGCUGCAGUAGGGAAUCUUCCACAAUGGGCGCAAGCCUGAUGGAGCAACGCCGCGUGUGUGAUGAAGGCUUUCGGGUCGUAAAGCACUGUUGUAUGGGAAGAAAUGCUAAAAUAGGGAAUGAUUUUAGUUUGACGGUACCAUAC
rnacentral:rRNA from 1 species